ACGCUCGACACCUACGGAAGGCAGCAGUGGGGAAUAUUGCACAAUGGGGGAAACCCUGAUGCAGCAACGCCGCGUGAGUGAAGAAGUAUUUCGGUAUGUAAAGCUCUAUCAGCAGGGAAGAUAAUGACGGUACCUGACUAAGAAGCUCCGGCUAAAUACGUACCAGCAGCCGCGGUAAUCUGAGCGGGCUGGCAAGGC
rnacentral:rRNA from 1 species